UACGGGGGGGGGCAAGCGUUGUUCGGAAUUACUGGGCGUAAAGGGCGCGUAGGCGGUCCGCUAAGUUAGAUGUGAAAACUCUGGGCUCAACCCAGAGCCUGCAUCUAAUACUGACGGGCUAGAGUUCUGGAGGGGGUAGCGGAAUUCCUGGUGUAGCGGUGAAAUGCGUAGAUAUCAGGAGGAACACCGGUGGCGAAGGCGGCUACCUGGACAGAAACUGACGCUGAGGCGCGAAAGCUAGGGGAGCAAACAGG
rnacentral:rRNA from 1 species